rnacentral:rRNA from 1 species
GAUGAACGCUGGCGGCGUGCCUAAUACAUGCAAGUCGAGCGAACGGACGAGAAGCUUGCUUUUCUGAUGUUAGCGGCGGACGGGUGAGUAACACGUGGAUAACCUACCUAUAAGACUGUGAUAACUUCGGGAAACCGGAGCUAAUACCGGAUAAUAUUUUGAACCGCAUGGUUCAAAAGUGAAAGACGGUCUUGCUGUCACUUAUAGAUGGAUCCGCGCUGCAUUAGCUAGUUGGUAAGGUAACGGCUUACCAAGGCAACGAUGCAUAGCCGACAUGAGAGGGUGAUCGGCCACACUGGAACUGAGACACGGUCCAGACUCCUACGGGAGGCAGCAGUAGGGAAUCUUCCGCAAUGGGCGAAAGCCUGACGGAGCAACGCCGCGUGAGUGAUGAAGGUCUUCGGAUCGUAAAACUCUGUUAUUAGGGAAGAACAUAUGUGUAAGUAACUGUGCACAUCUUGACGGUACCUAAUCAGAAAGCCACGGCUAACUACGUG